CUAACUUUGUCAGGUAUUCAAAUUUCCAUGCCACAGGACGACCAAAUUCAUAAAGUUCAUUCUUAAUAAAAGAAGUUGUACAAAGCAUAACAAGUAAAAAACUUGAUUUGCAUAGGAAAUGUCAUAAAACUUUAGUUCAUAAAAUUCAAAAUUAAGCAAAAAAUAUAAAGCAAAUCAGAAACCAGGUAAAGCAACCUUAGACAUAAGAACUCGAUAGCUAUUAGAUUGAGUAGGAGCCCUGUGUAGGAAAACAAUUGUUCCCCGUUGGCUGUCAGUCUCAGGUGAUCCUGCAUCCCCAAGAAAAAAUAAAUUGUUGAACAAAGUACAUAACAGAAGAGGGAAUAAAGAAAUGUUGCCAUAGAGCCAGAUGGCACUACUGCUGUAAGGAUUAUUUGUGACCAAACCAAAAGGAUUAAAUGCUGGUGCAUGAUCUUCGUCUUUGUUUUUGCUGCCUUCACUGUUCGUGGCAUUUGCUGUAAGUGCAGUUGCCCUUCUUGUGCGGUUUUUCGAACAGGAGAAAGAAAGCCCAGGCCAUUUGUCUGGUGGCUUGUGUGUGUUUCUGUUAUGAGUGUUUAGAUUUUAACUGGACAACUGAAACCACUUCAAAAAAUGUCUUUUUUUUGUGGAUGUAAAUUUUAGUUGAGGGCAUUGG
rnacentral:misc_RNA from 1 species